UACGAAGGGGCUAGCGUUGUUCGGAAUUACUGGGCGUAAAGCGCGUGUAGGCGGGUCUUUAAGUCAGGGGUGAAAUGCCAGGGCUCAACCUUGGAACUGCCUUUGAUACUGGAGAGCUUGAGUCCGGGAGAGGUGAGUGGAACUGCGAGUGUAGAGGUGAAAUUCGUAGAUAUUCGCAAGAACACCAGUGGCGAAGGCGGCUCACUGGCCCGGUACUGACGCUGAGGUGCGAAAGCGUGGGGAGCAAACAGGGAUUAAGAA
rnacentral:rRNA from 1 species